AACGCUGGCGGCGUGCUAAUACAUCCAAGUCGUUNGCAGAAGAGAUGGGAGCUUGCUCCCUGAUCUUAGCGGCGGACGGGUGAGUAACACGUGGGCAACCUGCCCUGCAGACUGGGAUAACUCCGGGAAACCGGAGCUAAUACCGGGUAAUACAUCGCACCGCAUGGUGCAAUGUUGAAAGUUGGCUUUCGAGCUAACACUGCAGGAUGGGCCCGCGGCGCAUUAGCUAGUUGGUAAGGUAAUGGCUUACCAAGGCGACGAUGCGUAGCCGACCUGAGAGGGUGAUCGGCCACACUGGGACUGAGACACGGCCCAGACUCCUACGGGAGGCAGCAGUAGGGAAUCUUCCGCAAUGGACGAAAGUCUGACGGAGCAACGCCGCGUGAGUGACGAAGGCCUUCGGGUCGUAAAGCUCUGUUGUUAGGGAAGAACAAGUACCGUUCGAAUAGGGCGGUACCUUGACGGUACCUAACCAGAAAGCCACGGCUAACUACGUGCCAGCAGCCGCGGUAAUACGUAGGUGGCAAGCGUUGUCCGGAAUUAUUGGGCGUAAAGCGCGCGCAGGCGGUCUUUUAAGUCUGAUGUGAAAGCCCACGGCUUCCCAACCCGGUGGAGGGGUUCAUUUGGGAAACUUGGGAGGAACUUUGGAGUGCCACGAAGAAGGGACGAGUUGGGAUUCCCACGUGUAGCGGGUGAAAUGCGGUUGAUUUUGUUGGGCACGGAACCAC
rnacentral:rRNA from 1 species